GGACAACCUUGGAGCCAUGACCAGGAGCACACCUUUCCAGCUUUCCUCGGCAUGAAAUGUGCCUAAGUUGAGGGAUUCCCUGAUACCUGGAGAGUACUGCAUGGAGCUCUGUGAUGCUGAAUGCGCUGUACUACGGACAGGCCUCCUGGAAGACCCUACAAAUGAGUUCUGCAAAUGGGCUUCCAAAAUCAGUAAGCUGCAAAAACCUAUCUGGCCUGCAAAAUCGUGCUUGGUCCCCUUCACACCCAUCAGUGCCCUCUGGCCCUGGCCCCCCCGUAUUCGUGCUUCCAUCCACUCUGCACUGCUUGGCAAGUACAGCAUGGGCCUGGGGGCUGGCAAGUCAGUUCACGCUGCAGAUGUGGGCCUGUGAACUGAUACCAGAGUUGAAGAGAGGAAAUAAAACCGGCUGCUCUGGAGACAAGGAGAAUCGUCCACCCCACUCUUCCCAGGAGGAAGUGGCGCAGGCAGAGGUGUGGCUGUCACAGGAAACUGCCAUUUUGUCUUGCUAAGGUCACCUGAAAGCUUGCUGAGAAAUUACAAUCAUGCUAGCCUUUGGUUUUGCACUAUCUGCCUCCAUAGUGAGUGUUCUGGAUUAAAUGGCUCCAGAAUGUCCUUAAAAGAA